rnacentral:rRNA from 1 species
UACGGGUAACGGGGAAUCAGGGUUCGAUUCCGGAGAGGGAGCCUGAGAAACGGCUACCACAUCCAAGGAAGGCAGCAGGCGCGCAAAUUACCCAAUCCAGACAAUGGGAGGUGGUGACGAAAAGUACCGAAUGGCAGCUUAUUGUUGCCAGUUUGGAAUGAAAACAAUUUAAGUAAUUGAAUUGAGUAACGACUGGAGGGCAAGUCUGGUGCCAGCAGCCGCGGUAAUUCCAGCUCCAGUAGCGUAUCUCAAAGUUGCUGCGCUUAAAACGCUCGUAGUUGGAUCACGCACUAUGCAUUGGUGUAUCCAAGUUGUUGCAUGGUAAGCUUUGUGCUCAGACUCGUUCCACGAUGUUCUGCAGCUAAGGUGUGCAGCACUUGGGUAAAUAGCCAGUGUGUAGUAAUUGCACGUGGGGAUGGUCGUUAGCCUUUAGUGCGCUGAUGAUCGUGUCCCACGGGGUGUGCCUUGAGUAAAUCAGAGUGCUUAAAGCAGGCGUUAGCUUGAAUGUUGAUAGCAUGGAACGAACAAUCGUGUAUGGUGUGUGUUGGUAACGGGGUGUUGGAUUCGUCCUUCACACUGCAACACACGACACCGACCGCCAGUUACGGAUGUUGGUUCCGUAUUGGGGUAUUGAUUAAGAGGAGCGGUUGGGGGCAUUGGUAUUUGGCAGCGAGAGGUGAAAUUCUUGGACCUGCCAAGGACUAACAAAUGCGAAGGCAUCUGUCCAGACCGUAUCCAUUAAUCAAGAACGAAAGAGAGAGGUUCGAAGACGAUCAGAUACCGUCCUAGUUCUCUCUGUAAACUAUGCCGACCCGGGAUCAGUUUGGAGUUAUAUAUCCACGCUCGAGGUUGGUCCCCCUGGGAAACCUGAAGUUUUUCGGUUGCGGGGGGAGUAUGGUCGCAAGGCUGAAACUUAAAGGAAUUGACGGAAGGGCACCACCAGGGGUGGAGCCUGCGGCUUAAUUUGACUCAACACGGGAUGAGAAACGGCUACCACAUCCAAGGAAGGCAGCAGGCGCGCAAAUUACCCAAUCCAGAUAGUGGGAGUGGUGCAUGGCCGUUCUUAGUUCGUGGAGUGAUCUGUCAGGCCAAUUCCGGUAACGAACGAGACCACUUUCUCCAUUUGACGAGCCGGAGAAGGCGUUGGUAUUGAGGAUUUUUGCUUGCAAGGGUCCCCGGUGCUAAUUCUGUAGGUACUGUGGGGAAGCUCAGGGGGCAUUGGCUGAGAUCGCAAGUCAAGGCUGGUGCACUUUGAGUUAUCUCCACAAUCCCUCCGGUUUAACAGUGCGUGCUCGCAAGAGUGGGUAUUGUAUCAUGGAGAGACAACGGAAUAUACUAAAAAAAUCCGAGGAAGUGUGGCUAUAACAGGUCUGUGAUGCCCUUAGAUGUUCAGGGCUGCACGCGCGCUACAAUGACUACGACAGCGAGUCUCUGGAUCGAAAGAUUCGGGUAAUCUUGUAAUCGUAGUCGUGAUGGGGAUCGACGUUUGUAAUUACGUCGUGAAAGAGGAAUCCCUAGUACGUGCGAUUCAUUAAAUCGCGCGGAUUUAGUCCCUGCCCUUUGUACACACCGCCCGUCGCUACUACCGAGCGAAUGGUGUCAUAAUACCUUGGGAGCGGACGUCGCGCUGGGCUUAUGCUCGGAGCGAUGCUGCGAUCAGCGUAAAAUGGCGCAAUUUCGAGGAAGUAAAAGUCGUAACAAGGUUUCCGUAGGUGAACCUGCGGAAGGAUC